rnacentral:rRNA from 1 species
GAUGAACGCUGGCGGCGUGCUUAACACAUGCAAGUCGAACGGGAAACCUUUUAUUGAAGCUUCGGCAGAUUUAGCUGGUUUCUAGUGGCGGACGGGUGAGUAACGCGUGGGUAACCUGCCUUAUACAGGGGGAUAACAGUCAGAAAUGGCUGCUAAUACCGCAUAAGCGCACAGAGCUGCAUGGCUCAGUGUGAAAAACUCCGGUGGUAUAAGAUGGACCCGCGUUGGAUUAGCUGGUUGGUGGGGUAACGGCCCACCAAGGUGACGAUCCAUAGCCGGCCUGAGAGGGUGAACGGCCACAUUGGGACUGAGACACGGCCCAGACUCCUACGGGAGGCAGCAGUGGGGAAUAUUGCACAAUGGGGGAAACCCUGAUGCAGCGACGCCGCGUGAAGGAAGAAGUAUCUCGGUAUGUAAACUUCUAUCAGCAGGGAAGAUAAUGACGGUACCUGACUAAGAAGCCCCGGCUAACUACGUG